rnacentral:RNase_P_RNA from 1 species
UGAGUCAGUCAGGCAGCCGCUCCGCGUGAGCGGGGAGGAAAGUCCGGGCUCCAUAGGGUAAAGUGCCAGGUAACGCCUGGGAAGCGCGAGCUUACGGAAAGUGCCACAGAAAAGAAACCGCCCUGAUUUGUUCAGGGUAAGGGUGAAAAGGUGCGGUAAGAGCGCACCGCGUAACUGGUAACAGCUUACGGCAAGGUAAACCCCACUUGGAGCAAGGCCAAAUAGGAACUCAAUAGUGUGACCCGCACUGAGUUUGGGUAGGCUGCUUGAGGUGCCUGGUAACAGGCAUCCCAGAUAAAUGACUGCCCUCGACAGAACCCGGCUUAUCGACUGACUCACCUU